AGUGAACGCUGGCGGUAGGCCUAACACAUGCAAGUCGAACGGCAGCACAGUAAGAGCUUGCUCUUACGGGUGGCGAGUGGCGGACGGGUGAGGAAUACAUCGGAAUCUACUUUUUCGUGGGGGAUAACGUAGGGAAACUUACGCUAAUACCGCAUACGACCUACGGGUGAAAGCAGGGGAUCUUCGGACCUUGCGCGAUUGAAUGAGCCGAUGGCGGAUUAGCUAGUUGGCGGGGUAAAGGCCCACCAAGGCGACGAUCCGUAGCGGGUCUGAGAGGAUGAACCGCCACACUGGAACUGAGACACGGUCCAGACUCCUACGGGAGGCAGCAGUGGGGAAUAUUGGACAAUGGGCGCAAGCCUGAUCCAGCCAUACCGCGUGGGUGAAGAAGGCCUUCGGGUUGUAAAGCCCUUUUGUUGGGAAAGAAAAGCAGCAGGUUAAUACCCCGCUGUUCUGACGGUACCCAAAGAAUAAGCACCGGCUAACUUCGUG
rnacentral:rRNA from 1 species